rnacentral:rRNA from 1 species
GGGUUUGAUCCUGGCUCAGAACGAACGCUGGCGGCAUGCCUAACACAUGCAAGUCGAACGAAGGCUUCGGCCUUAGUGGCGCACGGGUGCGUAACGCGUGGGAAUCUGCCUUUGGGUGCGGAAUAACUCAGAGAAAUUUGAGCUAAUACCGCAUAAUGACUCCGGUCCAAAGAUUUAUCGCCCAAAGAUGAGCCCGCGUAGGAUUAGCUAGUUGGUGGGGUAAAGGCCUACCAAGGCGACGAUCCUUAGCUGGUCUGAGAGGAUGAUCAGCCACACUGGGACUGAGACACGGCCCAGACUCCUACGGGAGGCAGCAGUGGGGAAUAUUGGACAAUGGGCGAAAGCCUGAUCCAGCAAUGCCGCGUGAGUGAUGAAGGCCUUAGGGUUGUAAAGCUCUUUUACCCGGGAUGAUAAUGACAGUACCGGGAGAAUAAGCUCCGGCUAACUCCGUGCCAGCAGCCGCGGUAAUACGGAGGGAGCUAGCGUUGUUCGGAAUUAUUGGGCGUAAAGAGCUCGUAGGCGGUUUGUUGCGUCGGCUGUGAAAACCUGAGGCUCAACCUCAGGCCUGCAGUCGAUACGAGCAGACUA